UGGGGAAUAUUGCGCAAUGGGCGAAAGCCUGACGCAGCGACGCCGCGUGAGGGAUGAAGGUCUUCGGAUCGUAAACCUCUGUCAGAAGGGAAGAACGUAUUGUGUGCUAAUCAGCGCAGUAGUGACGGUACCUUCAAAGGAAGCACCGGCUAACUCCGUGCCAGCAGCCGCGGUAAUACGGAGGGUGCAAGCGUUAAUCGGAAUCACUGGGCGUAAAGCGCACGUAGGCUGUCGUGUAAGUCAGGGGUGAAAGCCCACGGCUCAACCGUGGAAUUGCCCUUGAUACUGCAUGACUGGAAUCCGGGAGAGGGUGGCGGAAUUCCAGGUGUAGGAGUGAAAUCCGUAGAUAUCUGGAGGAACAUCAGUGGCGAAGGCGGCCACCUGGACCGGUAUUGACGCUGAGGUGCGAAAGCGUGGGGAGCAAACA
rnacentral:rRNA from 1 species